AUGCUCUCUGCAGCCGCCGUGAUGGCGCCAGUCCCGGCCGCUCCCAAGAGCUCCCUCGAGGCCUUGCUCGAGACCAUAAAGAAGCGCGACGAGCGGCCCAAGGAUGAGCCGCCGGCAUUGCCGGCCCGCCCGACGUGCCGUGGCCGGCUGCCCAGGGCAAGACGGUCGCCGACGCCUCCUAGGGUUCAUCUUGAGGAUGGAGUGGCAGAGGGUGCUGCAGCGGAUACUGACGAGAAGCCGGAAGCUGUAGCGGAUACUGACAAGAAGCCGGAAGCUGUGAAUGAGAAUAAGCCAGAGAUGGAGAAGGAGAAUACGCCAGAGGUCAAGAAGGAGAUUGGUGGGCAGGAGGCCAAGGAGGGGAAGGCUGUAAAUGGUCGCAUCUUUGGGGCCAAGAGAAAGCUAUGCAGUGUGGAACCAGUGGACGAGUCUCCAUAUGUUGAGAAUCUCCACGAGGAGAGGAAGGAUGCAACGGCCUGUAAGGAGCCCCCCUCUCCUUAUUUUUCCUCAGCAAGAGCAAAGAGAAAUGGGAAGCCAGUGUUUACUGAUUCCAUGGACUAUGUCCUCCAGAAGAAGCUACGGGUUUGGUGUUCUGCAUCAGAUGAGAAGUGGGAACUUGGACAGAUUCAAUCAAUUUCUGGAGAUGACGUUGAAAUACACCUUGUUAAUGGAGAAGUUUUGACGCUGCCACCAGAAAGACUUUUGCCUGCCAACCCUGAUAUUCUAGAUGGAGUGGAUGAUUUGAUCCAGAUGAGCUACUUAAAUGAACCUUCUGUCCUUUACAAUCUGCAAUACCGAUACUCUCGUGAUCAUAUCUACACAAAAGCAGGACCUGUUCUGAUUGCUAUCAACCCACUAAAAGAGGUUCCACUCUAUGGGAAAGAUCUCAUCAGAAAAUACAGACAGAAGCUCACAAAUGAUCCACAUGUGUAUGCAAUUGCUGAUAUAGCUUUUAAUGAAAUGCUAAGAGAUGGCAUAAACCAAUCUAUAAUAAUAAGUGGUGAAAGUGGAGCAGGAAAAACAGAAACAGCUAAAAUUGCGAUGCAGUAUUUGGCUGCUCUAGGGGGAGCUAACGGAAUGGAGUCUGAAGUUCUACAGACCAAUGUUAUUCUGGAAGCAUUAGGGAAUGCAAAAACAUCAAGAAAUGAUAACUCGAGCCGAUUUGGUAAGCUUAUUGAAAUGCACUUUUCUGAAACCGGAAAGAUUUGUGGCGCUAAAAUACAAACAUUCUUGCUUGAGAAGUCGAGGGUGGUUCGGAGGGCACCAGGAGAGAGAUCAUAUCAUAUUUUCUAUCAGCUGUGCUCUGGAGCUUCUCCUCUUCACAGAAAAAAAUUGUUACUGAGAGACGCCAAUUACUAUAAUUACUUGAAGCAGAGUGCUUGCUUGAGAAUUGAUGGUGUUGAUGAUGCGAAAAGAUUUUCAUCGUUAUUGGGUGCAUUGGAUAUUGUUCAGAUAUCUGGGGAAAACCAGAUGGAAUUAUUUUCUAUGCUUGCAGUUGUCUUGUGGCUGGGAAACAUUUCAUUCUCUGUGAUAGACAAUGAAAACCAUGUGGAAGUUGAUUCAAAUGAAGGGUUGGCUAAUGCAGCAAAGCUGUUAGGCUGCAGUGUUCCUCAAUUGGUGAUUGCUCUCUCAACUCGUAAAAUCCAAGCUGGAAAGGAAAAUAUUGUUCAAAGACUGACAUUAACCCAGGCACUUGAUGCAAGGGAUGCUCUAGCGAAGUCAAUCUAUGCUCAUCUGUUUGACUGGAUUGUUGAGCAAAUUAACCACUCGCUUGGAACGGGGAGACAACGUACACGAAGAUCCAUAAGUAUUUUGGAUAUUUAUGGCUUCGAGUCUUUCAAUAAAAAUGGCUUUGAACAGUUCUGUAUAAAUUAUGCCAAUGAAAGGCUGCAACAGCAUUUUAACCGACAUCUAUUCAAACUAGAACAGGAGGAGUACCUGGAUGAUGGAAUUGACUGGGCCAGUGUGGAGUUUGUGGACAACGCUGACUGUUUAUCUCUCUUUGAGAAGAAGCCUCUAGGGCUAUUGUCUUUGCUGGAUGAAGAGUCUACGUUCCCAAAGGCAACAGAUCUUUCCUUUGCUAACAAACUUAAGCAGCAUUUGAGUGGAAACCCUGGAUUUAAGGGCGAACAAGAUGGUGCUUUUAAGAUUUGUCAUUAUGCUGGAGAGGUUUCAUAUGAUACAACUGGGUUCUUGGAGAAGAAUAGAGAUCCACUGCACACCGAGUCAAUUCAAUUAUUCUCUUCGUGCAAAAGUGAUCUUCCAAAAGAUUUUGCGUCUGUCAUGAUUGCUGAUUCUCAGAAUAAAUCAAGUUUGUCACGUCACUUAUUAGUUGAUACACAAAAACAAAGCGUUGUGAACAAAUUUAAGGCUCAACUAUUCAAGCUAAUGCAGCAAUUAGAGAAUACAAGUCCUCAUUUCAUUCGAUGCAUCCAGCCAAAUAACAAACAGCGCCCGAGGCAAUUCGAACAUGACCUUGUCUUGCACCAGCUUAAGUGCUGUGGGGUGUUUGAAGUUGUGCGGAUAUCAAGAGCAGGCUAUCCAACUCGGAUGACACACCAACAGUUUGCUGAAAGAUAUGGAUUUCUUCUCUCUCAUUCUGUCGCAUCUCAGAACCCACUUAGUAUUUCAGUUGCUGUAUUACAGCAAUUCAGUAUACCCCCAGAAAUGUAUCAAGUUGGCUACACAAAAUUGUUUCUUCGUACGGGACAGGUUGCUUCACUGGAAAAUGCUAAAAAUCGGAUGUUCCAUGGAGCUCUUCGGAUUCAGAGAAACUUCCGUGGGUUGCAUACUCGACGAGAAUAUCACACACUGAAGAAAGGAGCAACGGCUUUGCAGUCAUUUGUAAGAGGUGAAAAGGCAAGAUUUCGAUUUGAUUCCCUUUCCAAGAGAUGGAGGGCAGCUGUUCUCAUACAGAAGUACACUAGGCGUCGACUUGCAGCCACCAUGUUUACUGAUCAGCUAAAAAAUAUUGUUGUUCUACAGUCUGUGAUGCGUGGGUGCCUGGCUAGGAAGAAAUUCAAGUGCUUGCAGGAAGAAAAGGAAUCUAAAGUCAUUAACAGCAAAGUUAAAAGGGAUGUAAGGAAUAAUAUCUCACAACCGAGGUUAUGCCAUGAAAUGAAUGGAGAGUAUCCUCGCCAACCAGUUGUCACAGAACUCGAGGGACGCGUUUCAAAAGCUGAGGCUUUAUUACGAGACAAAGAGGAAGAAAAUGUGAUGCUGAAGCAACAAUUGGAACAGUAUGAGAAUAAAUGGUCAGAAUAUGAGACUAAGAUGAAAGUUAUGGAAGAGGCAUGGAAGAAACAGCUCUCUUCUCUGCAGUUGAGUCUUGUGGCUGCUAAGAAGAGCCUAGCUGCUGAUGACAUGGUCACCCGAGCAGCUCGGACUGAUACCACUCCAACACAUGCUCAAUACGACUCUGAAGAUACAAUGUCCACAGGGACCCAUACCCCAGAAGGGACAGAGUUGAAAUACCAAAACCACAACCCUGAACCUAGAGUGGUGACAGGAAACUCAGAUAGGCGAAUAAAUGCUGUGAAUCACCUAGCAAAGGAGUUUGAGGAUAGGCGGCAGGUGUUCGAUGAUGAUGCUGGCUUCCUUGUUGCCGUGAAAUCCGGACAGAUUGGUUCGAAUAUGAAUCCAGACGACGAACUCAGGAAGCUGAAGGACCGGUUUGCUACAUGGAAGAAAGACUACAAAUCUCGGUUGAAGGAGACGAAGGUAAACCUUCAAAAGGUCAGCAGUCAUGACGAGAAAUCUCGGAAAAGAUGGUGGGGGAAGAAGAGCUCCAAGUGA
rnacentral:rRNA from 1 species